rnacentral:rRNA from 1 species
GACGAACGCUGGCGGCGUGCUUAACACAUGCAAGUCGAACGAUGAAGCCGGAGCUUGCUCUGGUGAAUUAGUGGCGAACGGGUGAGUAACACGUGAGUAACCUGCCCUUGACUCUGGGAUAACUGCGGGAAACUGUAGCUAAUACCGGAUACGACCCUCGGAGGCAUCUCCUGGGGGUGGAAAGAAUUUCGGUCAAGGAUGGACUCGCGGCCUAUCAGCGAGUUGGUGAGGUAAAGGCUAACCAAGGCGACGACGGGUAGCCGGCCUGAGAGGGUGACCUGCCACACUGGGACUGAGACACGGCCCAGACUCCUACGGGAGGCAGCAGUGGGGAAUAUUGCACAAUGGGCGCAAGCCUGAUGCAGCAACGCCGCGUGAGGGAUGACGGCCUUCGGGUUGUAAACCUCUUUUAGCAGGGAAGAAGCGAAAGUGACGGUACCUGCAGAAAAAGCACCGGCUAACUACGUGCCAGCCGCCGCCGUAA